ACGAACGCUGGCGGCUGCUUAACACAUGCAAGUCGAACGGAGUGGCGAACGGGAGAGUAACGCGUGAGCAACCUGCCUAUGACAGUGGGAUAGCCUCGGGAAACCGGGAUUAAUACCGCAUAGUCAUAGAUGGGAUCGAGUCUGAUUAGCUAGGUGGUGCGAUAACAGCCCACCAAAGCGACGAUCAGUAGCCGGUCUGAGAGGCUGAACGGCCACAUUGGAACGGAGCCACGGUCCAAACUCCGACGGGAGGCAGCAGUGGGGAAUAUUGCCCAAUGGAGGAAACCCUGAAGCAGCGAGGCCGCGUGAACGAAGAAGGUAUUCGUAUCGUAAAGUGCUGUCCUAUGGGAAGCAGUACCAUAGAAGAAAGCUCCGGCUAAAUACGUGCCAGCAGCCGCGGUAAUAC
rnacentral:rRNA from 1 species